rnacentral:rRNA from 1 species
GACGAACGCUGGCGGCGUGCUUAACACAUGCAAGUCGAACGGAAAGGCCCUGCUUUUGUGGGGUGCUCGAGUGGCGAACGGGUGAGUAACACGUGAGUAACCUGCCCUUGACUUUGGGAUAACUUCAGGAAACUGGGGCUAAUACCGGAUAGGAGCUACUGCUGCACGGUGGGGGUUGGAAAGUUUCGGCGGUUGGGGAUGGACUCGCGGCUUAUCAGCUUGUUGGUUGGGUAGUGGCUUACCAAGGCUUCGACGGGUAGCCGGCCUGAGCGGGUGACCGGCCACAUGGGGACUGAGGGACGGCCCAGACGGCUACGGGAGGCAGCAGUGGGGAAUAUUGCACAAUGAGCGGAAGCCUGAUGCAGCAGCGCCGCGUGCGGGAUGACGGCCUUCGGGUUGUAAACCACUUUCGCCGGUGACGAAGCGUGAGUGACGGUAAUGAGUAAGGAAGCACCGGCUAACUACGUG